GUGCUCGCUUCCGCAGCACAUAUACUAUAAUUAGGACUAUACAGAGAUUAGCAUGGCCACUGCACAAGGAUGACAUACAAAUUCAUGAGGCCUUUCAUACGUUU